AAGUCGAGCGGUAGCACAGAAGAGCUGCUCUCGGGUGACGAGCGGCGGACGGGUGAGUAAUGUCUGGGAAACUGCCUGAUGGAGGGGGAUAACUACUGGAAACGGUAGCUAAUACCGCAUAACGUCGCAAGACCAAAGUGGGGGACCUUCGGGCCUCAUGCCAUCAGAUGUGCCCAGAUGGGAUUAGCUAGUAGGUGGGGUAACGGCUCACCUAGGCGACGAUCCCUAGCUGGUCUGAGAGGAUGACCAGCCACACUGGAACUGAGACACGGUCCAGACUCCUACGGGAGGCAGCAGUGGGGAAUAUUGCACAAUGGGCGCAAGCCUGAUGCAGCCAUGCCGCGUGUGUGAAGAAGGCCUUCGGGUUGUAAAGCACUUUCAGCGGGGAGGAAGGCGGUGAGGUUAAUAACCUCAUCGAUUGACGUUACCCGCAGAAGAAGCACCGGCUAACUCCGUGCCAGCAGCCGCGGUAAUACGGAGGGUGCAAGCGUUAAUCGGAAUUACUGGGCGUAAAGCGCACGCAGGCGGUCUGUCAAGUCGGAUGUGAAAUCCCCGGGCUCAACCUGGGAACUGCAUUCGAAACUGGCAGGCUAGAGUCUUGUAGAGGGGGGUAGAAUUCCAGGUGUAGCGGUGANAAUGCGUAGAGAUCUGGAGGAAUACCGGUGGCGAAGGCAGCCCCCUGGACAAAGACUGACGCUCAGGUGCGAAAGCGUGGGGAGCAAACAGGAUUAGAUAUCCUGGUAGUCCACGCCGUAAACGAUGUCGAUUUGGAG
rnacentral:rRNA from 1 species